AUUUUUCGUAAUUAUUUCGAAUAUUUUCACUCAUAUCUCUUUCAAAUCGCAAGUAUAAUGGUUGGGAAGUGUUUUAGAAAUUCUAGAAUAAUUUGGGGAUUUGUUUUUGAGAAUGGAACAGGUUCUCUGAUAAGGGGAAGUGUUUAUCUGGUAGUGAAAGUAAUUUUGGGAUGAUUUGGUGAAUUUGGAAAUACAUUGAAGCUACGACAUCUUGAAAUGGGUAGGUUGACGUUCUAGAUGGAAAGUGAUGCAUCAGCCUAGCCGAACCUGCAGCAACAAGUCAGUCUACAGUCGUCUUUGCCUUGGAUAGCUUCGAACGCUAGUCGGUCUCCCUUGAGAUUGUCUUAUUACUUUCAAAUCAAUAAUUUCGUUAUUACUCGGUGUGUUAUUGUGAAUAUACUAAUUAAAUGCUCCCUUUCAUGUAUUUUAUUACGGGGUUGUGAAAUUAUUGGCGGUGAUAUGACUUUGGUUAGUGAGAAGUGAAACGUGGUUUUCGGAUCAUGGUCUUCCUUUGAAGUAGGAAAUCUAUUCCAAUAAUUAUAAUUCCUCCCUCAUGAUAUUAAUUUGAUCUCAUGUGAUGUAGUUUAUUUUAGAAGGCUAGGCCUUGAAUAUCGUUUCAUUGUCCCUAUAUUUUUAAGGUUAUUAGUUCGUAAGAUGUUCGAUUUCAGAAUACUGGGAAAAGGCGUGUUGAUCUCACCUAUUUGAUGUUAAAUCUAGUAAUUUUUAAUGUCAAAUUAGUGUGGUUAAUUCAGGUCAAAUUCCUUUGUAAGCCUUCUGAAAUUGUUCUGUAGUUAAUAAGUUAGAAUUUGUAGUUUAUUUUCUCUGGUGAUUAGGCUUUCAUACUGCUUCAAUCAUAUUGUGUUUAAUCAUAGGCUACGGUUUUAUUAGAUAGAUUUACAAUUGUCUUAUGUAUCUUGUAUUUUGGCGAUGUAAAUAUUCUAUUCUAUUCAAUUAGAGUUCGGAAUUCACUUAGACUAUUGUGUGAAUGUACGUUCAAAAUAAUUUUGUUCUGUAUUGCUGUGUUUGGGCCGAUGUGCCUAUGUUUCUUUUCAAUCUGGCAGUAAUACUCAUAGGUUAACUUCAAUGCCCCAUAUUUAACCAAUACUGCAGACAGUGUAAUGAGUUUUGUUUGAUAGUGACAGUAUUCCCCUAUGAAAAGAAUCCAUGUCUCUGCUUUAAGCAAUAGUGACUGUUGAAUGUGAUUUUUAAGGUAGCCUACAGAAAGUAGUUCCAUGGUACAAAAUAUUACUCCGCGUAGGUGCUCGGUCAACGGUCAGUUUAAUUUGAAUAUCUGUCGGAUUUUGUUCCUUUGUAUAGUGUUUUCUGUUUUAUAUUAAUUGUUUAUUCAUAAUAGAGUCAGUGCAUUAAUUAAUAUUAAAUCUCAGUGAUGAUGAAAGUGAAUUUACUAGUGUUGAGUUCAAUGUAGUGUGAAGUGUGAGUGUUGGAUACAAGGAUACAAAAGUCCCUGGCUUUGACUUUACACAGCAGGUGUGAAGCGACGACACAGUCGGCAGUCAACAGCAACGCAUCGAAUGCAACUUGGCAUCCUGUCAUGGACCACAGCUUUCAAUGACCUCAUCACUUGACAGGUUGAACGAUCAGUUGUUGGGGAUUAUAAGGGAGGGGGACUCUUGACUGUGGAAUGAAGAACUAGACUAGUUGCUAACAGUGAGCAGAAUGGGAGAGAACGAGGGAGAAGUUGAAGAUCAUCACUGCAUGUCUCCGGAACAUUCAAGCGAGCGAAGUGAGUUCUCACCACUUGAGACCUUCACUAUGUCGCCUCGCGAAGUGAGUUCUCAUCCCCUGUUGCAGUCUCCAUUCAUCUGGAUUGCGUGGAACGCGAGUUGGCGGCAGUCACAUUAACUCUGGCAUUCAAUCACAUUAUUUCCAUGUUAUCAAAUUAUUCGGCAUUUUAUGAUGUAGGCCUCAUCUUACGUUCAUCUUUUGAUUUUAUGUUUUAUUCAUCAGUAAUUAAAUCUCAUUUUCUGUUUUUAAAAUCAUGUAGUUUUUGUUUUCAUUUUAUGUUUUAUUCGUAAGUAAUAAACUAACAUUUUAUGUUUACUA